rnacentral:rRNA from 1 species
CCUACGGGGGGCAGCAGUGGGGAAUAUUGCACAAUGGGGGAAACCCUGAUGCAGCAACGCCGCGUGAGUGAAGAAGUAUUUCGGUAUGUAAAGCUCUAUCAGCAGGGAAGAAAAUGACAGUACCUGACUAAGAAGCCCCGGCUAACUACGUGCCAGCAGCCGCGGUAAUACGUAGGGGGCAAGCGUUAUCCGGAUUUACUGGGUGUAAAGGGAGCGUAGACGGCUGUGCAAGUCAGAAGUGAAAGCCCGGGGCUCAACCGCGGGACUGCUUUUGAAACUGUGUAGCUAGAGUGCAGGAGAGGUAAGUGGAAUUCCUAGUGUAGCGGUGAAAUGCGUAGAUAUUAGGAGGAACACCGGUGGCGAAGGCGGCUUACUGGACUGUAACUGACGUUGAGGCUCGAAAGCGUGGGGAGCAAACAGGAUUAGAUACCCUAGUAG